rnacentral:piRNA from 1 species
GCUGGAGAGUCUAGGUUUGCAAGU